rnacentral:tRNA from 1 species
CCUAAUAUGGCAGAAUUUAGUGCAAUAGAUUUAAGAUCUAUAUAUAAAGUUAUACUUUUAUUAGAA